CACAGCCACGGUAAUACGAAGGGUGCAAGCGUUACUCGGAAUUACUGGGCGUAAAGCGUGCGUAGGUGGUGGUUUAAGUCCGUUGUGAAAGCCCUGGGCUCAACCUGGGAAUUGCAGUGGAUACUGGGUCACUAGAGUGUGGUAGAGGAUAGUGGAAUUUCCGGUGUAGCAGUGAAAUGCGUAGAGAUCGGAAGGAACAUCUGUGGCGAAGGCGACUAUCUGGGCCAACACUGACACUGAGGCACGAAAGCGUGGGGAGCAAACAGGAUUAGAUACCCCGGUAGUCCCUGUCUCUUAUACA
rnacentral:rRNA from 1 species